rnacentral:rRNA from 1 species
UAUCCUACGGGGGGCAGCAGUGGGGAAUAUUGGUCAAUGGAGGAAACUCUGAACCAGCAACGCCGCGUGAAUGAUGAAGGUCUUCGGAUUGUAAAGUUCUUUUCUAAGGGAAGAAGAUAGUGACGGUACCUUAGGAAUAAGCCUCGGCUAACUACGUGCCAGCAGCCGCGGUAAUACGUAGGAGGCAAGCGUUAUCCGGAAUGACUGGGCGUAAAGGGUGCGUAGGUGGUUUGGCAAGUUAGUAGCGUAACCCCGGGGCUCAACCUCGGAACUACUACUAAAACUGUCGGACUUGAGUGCAGGAG